rnacentral:rRNA from 1 species
CCUACGGGAGGCAGCAGUGAGGACUAUUGGUCAAUGGGCGCGAGCCUGAACCAGCCAAGUAGCGUGAGGGAAGACUGUCCUAUGGAUUGUAAACCUCUUUUGUAGAGGAGCAAACGACGCCACGCGUGGCGUUCCGUGAGUACCCGAAGAAAAAGCAUCGGCUAACUCCGUGCCAGCAGCCGCGGUAAUACGGAGGGAGCGAGCGUUACCCGGAAUUACGGGGUGUAAAGGGAGCGUAGGGGGGUGUGCAAGUUGGGUGUCAAAAUUACGGGCUAAACGUGUAGUCGAACUCAAAAAUGCAGCGCUUGAGUGAAGUAGAGGCAGGCGGAAUUCGUAGUGUAGCGGUGAAAUGCUUAGAUAUUAGGAGGAACACCAGUUGCGAAGGCGGCCUGCUGGGCUUUUACUGACGUUGAGGCUCGAAAGUGUGGGGAGCAAACAGGAUUAGAUACCCUAGUAGUC